UCCCUGGUAGCUCAGUUGGUAAAGAAUCUGCCUGUAAAGCAGGAGGUCCCAGUUCAAUUCUUGGGUCAGGAA
rfam:TPA: Bos taurus chromosome X, whole genome shotgun sequence.